CCUCUUCUAGUCAUUAUAGGAAAUGUCAAAUAUAAACCUAGCUGACUUUGGUUCAGCACAAAUUCUUACAAGUAUGGAAGUCUUAAUGGGGGUCUUGUAAACUCCAAGGGGUUAGCAACGCCUCAGUCUAGAACAAACCACAAGAAUGACAUGUUAACACAGUUUUCAGCAAAUAUCCGAGAACAGUGAGCCACUUCAUUGGAACAUUUGCAUUGUGUUCCUGGGCUAUUCAGGGGAGGGUAGAGGAGGCCUGCUACUCAUGGUGAAGGCAGCUAGCUCUAAACCUCCCUUAGUGAGGGAUGACCUGUGUGUAUGGAUUCAACAUGAAAGACUGAGGAGAUCCGUUAUCAAAAUGUACCAAAGAGUUGUACUGGGACGUGUGCCAGGCACUUGUGAUACAGCCAAUAGAGAGCAGACCAGGAGCCAAGCCUGACAGAGAGCAACUGUCGGAUGUGCAGAUUCAGUCCAGAUCUCUCUCUCCCGAUUGCCCCCUGUUCAAGAUUCCUGGGUGAAGAAUGCACCACCGUUGGGAUGCUGUCUGUAAAGCUGGCUGUUUUUGCAUAAGACUCAGCCUGGGCUCAAGGCAGCCCUUCCUCUGCUUGCAUUUCUCUGAAAAUGAAUUCUGCUAGGUAGGAGUGCAGGGUACUCAAAUAGUAGGCACUCAGAAUCUCCUGCUGUGAUUGCUUCUUGCUUCUUCCUUCAUAGAUCAUUAAAAUGCCGCCGAACCAUAGCUGUCCGGAAAGGACAGCUUAAAAAGAGAAAAGUAAAAUAUUUAUAAAUAAUUAAAAUGUAAACCAGUGACCCAGGACUAGGAAUAUGCACAUGCAUUAAUAGUGUUAGCGAGGUAAUGAAUUCUAAGUGGCACUAGCCUGUAAUUCCAUAGAAUAGACGACUUCUUCAAGAGGGUGAUUUACCUUGAAAGCAUAGCUCAGGUGCCUUUUUUGAUAUGGUUUUGCUGUUGCUAUGGAAAUUGUCUCUGUAGGAAUGUGCACAAAUGUAGGCUAGAUUGCUAGUGGCAUGGGUAAGGAGGUGUGGGCUGGGGGCAGGCAUGUUGACACUUGCCAGUCUCCAGCUUUGGUCGGAAGGAGACUGGCACAGAGUGGAGCGUAGGCGGUGGGUAGGUCCCACCUUGGAUAUCUGGGGAAUGAGAGACCCCAGGACUUAGUUCUGCACUCUGCUGUUUGAGUGACCUAUUAUGGUUGCUAUCUCAGUUUUCUCAUUAAGAAUUCUCUCACUGUCGGUGUCAUCGAGUCUAGUUGGACAAAGAGUCUAACAGUUACUGCAGAAUGUAACCCCCGCCCCCCCCCCCACAAUGAGAAAAAUGUAUUGAAGUAAUUCUGUAGACCUUUCAUGAUUCCCUGCCCUCUAACAGACACACACACACACACACACACACACACACACACACACACACACACGGGACUUAAGCUAUUUUCUGGGUGAGAACCAUUGUUUCCUACCCAUAAACUCCUGACUUCCAUCACAGUCCUGGAUUAACAGCUGUGGUUCCACACACCCAGAAGAAGGAACAGGUCAUCUUUUGUAGCUUCACAGGGAGAAAUUGAAAUUGUGUUGAGUCCUGGACCAAGAGGUAGGCUAGGUUCACUCUCUAGGGAAUCGAGUAGCUUUUACAUGGCAUUCUUCCAGGCUAUACUUUACAAAUGUGUGCUUCAGGCAAAAAAAGUAACUGAGCUCCCAUAGUGAACUCAAGGUGAGUGUAUCACUCACUGCUUCCUGCUAGAAGGACUCUAAAGGUGGGGAUGUACUGAAAAGAUGGUAACUUUGCAGACUCACUGUGACAGGACGGAGGACAGGUAUAGAACUUGAAUAGGGAAAAUGUCUUGCUCAGACCCAUCACAGCUAUGAGUGAUAUGCCCUGGAAGCCGGCUGGUUUAGAAACCACUGCCCUUGCAGAGAGGCACUGAUCUUAUAGGGAUAAUCUUUCUAUGUACCGUGCAAAGGUUGUUUUUGUAUUGUUCAAAUACUCAGUUUCUUAGAGACAGUCUGGUGAGUCCACCCAGGUGGUGUGUCUGAGUUUGAUUUUCUAAUGUAGUCAUAGUCCAACUGUAGACAUUUGCAUUCACCCUUUAGGUUACAGUUUAAGGAAGCAGUGUCUUGAUGAACCCAGCGUGUCAAUAAUUAGGAUUUCUAUUACUGUGAAGAGACAUCAUGACCACAGCAACUCUUGCAUGGGAAAAUACAUUUUGUGAGGCUUACAGUUCAGAGAUUCAGUCCAUUGUCAUCAUGGCAGGAAGCAUGGUAGUGUACAGCUAGAGAUGCUGCUAGAGAAGUAGCUGAGACUGUACCAUCCAGGUCGGCAGGCAGCAGGAAGAGAGAGGGAGAGACACUGGUCCUGGCUUCGGCUUCUGAAACCUUAAAGCCCGCUCCUAGUGACACACUUCCUCCAACAAGGCCACAUGUCCUAAUCCUUUCAAAUAGUGUCACUACCUACUAGCCUAUGGAAGCCAUUUGCAUUCAAACUAUCACACAGUCCAGUAAAGCACUGUUGAGUAGGAUAGAUGCUAUACUAAACCUUACAACAGUAAAUGAACUAAGUUUGAGGACCCGGGGCAAGAACAACAGGUACCAAGGCUCCCUAAGAGUGAAGAGUCAUGGUGUUGGUACUUAGGGUAGUCAGCUCUUCUUCUCAUGCUCCACUUACUGUGUAAUAUUUCCACUCUCUCUGUGGAACAGUUUAAUUGGAUUGACAAGGGACUCCCUUGGAGCUGGCCAAUCAUAAAGUGACUGUCUCCUCUUUCCCGUGAGGAUGCACACACAUCUGGAUAAUGCAUCACUGGCUACCUGCAAGUUCAUGUUAGGAGACUGAAAAGGGCAGUCUGUAUUUAGGUUCCAUGCUGCUACUGCCCUGGGGGGAGGGCAUCAACUCCAUGAUGGCAUCGUUUUGAGAUUGACCAGUAGGAUUGUACCUUGAGUAUUGAAAAAGUGAGAGUGCAUAUACCUGAGCUAAUGUAGCAGCUACAUAUCCCAGCCUGACUUGGCUUUGUUGAAUGUAACCCCUAAGGAGAGUCUAAGUGGUGCUAAGUUUGUAGUUUUCCCUAUGGAUAGAGUUUUCAGGUGCUAAAGAGGACUGAGUGAUUGGAAAAGGACAGAGAGAGGGUCCUGGAAAACUGUUUUAGAGUUUACCUUUUCCUGUCCCUAGGUUGAGAUUAGCAUUUACCUUGUAAGUUAUUGGUAUCGGACAUUUUAUAGGAAGUUACAUUUCAAGGAUCCAAUUAAGUGCAUGUUCCUUCUGGUUUCUUCUGGUUCCUUCCGACUCUCUCCUUAUCUCUAAUGAGGCAUGAACUAGCAGCCUUCUAGCCUUCUUCUAUGGGAAAAUAAAGUGACAUAGCAGACCCAGCUGCCAUUGCUACUUAAGAAUGGGAUUUGGUUCGUCUUU
rnacentral:lncRNA from 1 species